GAGUUUGAUCGUGGCUCAGAUUGAACGCUGGCGGCAUGCCUUACACAUGCAAGUCGAACGGCAGCAUGAUCUAGCUUGCUAGAUUGAUGGCGAGUGGCGAACGGGUGAGUAAUACAUCGGAACGUGCCCUGUAGUGGGGGAUAACUAGUCGAAAGAUUAGCUAAUACCGCAUACGACCUGAGGGUGAAAGUGGGGGACCGCAAGGCCUCAUGCUAUAGGAGCGGCCGAUGUCUGAUUAGCUAGUUGGUGGGGUAAAGGCCCACCAAGGCGACGAUCAGUAGCUGGUCUGAGAGGACGAUCAGCCACACUGGGACUGAGACACGGCCCAGACUCCUACGGGAGGCAGCAGUGGGGAAUUUGGACAAUGGGCGAAAGCCUGAUCCAGCAAUGCCGCGUGUGUGAAGAAGGCCUCCGGGUUGUAAAGCACUUUGUCCGGAAAGAAAUGGCUCUGGUUAAUACCUGGGUCGAUGACGGUACCGGAAGAAUAAGACCGGCUAACUACGUGCC
rnacentral:rRNA from 1 species